rnacentral:rRNA from 1 species
AUCUGGUUCAGGAUGAACGCUAGCGGCAGGCUUAACACAUGCAAGUCAGGGGCAUCGGGAGUAGCAAUACUUGCCGGCGACCGGCGCAAGGGUGCGUAACGCGUGAGCAACAUGCCCGUAUCAGGGGGAUAAUCCAUGGAAACGUGGUCUAAUACCCCAUAGUAAUUAUGUAAGGCAUCUUAUAUAAUUUAAAGCUUUGGUGGAUACGGAUUGGCUCGCGUGACAUUAGCUGGAUGGUAAGGUAACGGCUUACCAUGGCUACGAUGUCUAGGGGUUCUGAGAGGAAGGUCCCCCCACACUGGAACUGAGACACGGUCCAGACUCCUACGGGAGGCAGCAGUGAGGAAUAUUGGACAAUGGAUGGAAAUCUGAUCCAGCCAUGCCGCGUGCAGGAAAGACGGCCCUAUGGGUUGUAAACUGCUUUUGUAUGGGAGCAAUAAGGGCUACGUGUAGUCCGAUGAGAGUACCAUACGAAUAAGCACCGGCUAACUCCGUGCCAGCAGCUGC